GAUGAACGCUGGCGGCGUGCCUAAUACAUGCAAGUCGAGCGAACGGACGAGAAGCUUGCUUCUCUGAUGUUAGCGGCGGACGGGUGAGUAACACGUGGAUAACCUACCUAUAAGACUGGGAUAACUUCGGGAAACCGUAGCUAAUACCGGAUAAUAUUUUGAACCGCAUGGUUCAAAAGUGAAAGACGGUCUUGCUGUCACUUAUAGAUGGAUCCGCGCUGCAUUAGCUAGUUGGUAAGGUAACGGCUUACCUAGGCAACGAUGCAUAGCCGACCUGAGAGGGUGAUCGGCCACACUGGAACUGAGACACGGUCCAGACUCCUACGGGAGGCAGCAGUAGGGAAUCUUCCGCAAUGGGCGAAAGCCUGACGGAGCAACGCCGCGUGAGUGAUGAAGGUCUUCGGAUCGUAAAACUCUGUUAUUAGGGAAGAACAUAUGUGUAAGUAACUGUGCACAUCUUGACGGUACCUAAUCAGAAAGCCACGGCCAACUACGUG
rnacentral:rRNA from 1 species